AAUGAACGUUGGCGGCGUGGAUUAGGCAUGCAAGUCGAGCGAGAACCGUAGCAAUACGGGGACAGCGGCGAAAGGGAGAUGAAUACGCGGGUACCUACCCUCGGAUCUGGGAUAGCCACGGGAAACUGUGGGUAAUACCAGAUAACGUCUUCGGACCAAAGGUGUGAUUCCGUCCGAGGAGGGGCCCACGUCCUAUUAGCUAGUUGGUGGGGUAAUGGCCUACCAAGGCAAUGAUGGGUACGGGGCGUGGGAGCGUGCCACCGCUCACUGGGACUGAGACACUGCCCAGACACCGACGGGUGGCUGCAGUCGAGGAUCUUCGGCAAUGGGCGCAAGCCUGACCGAGCGACGCCGCGUGCGGGAUGAAGGCCUUCGGGUUGUAAACCGCCGUCGGAAGGGAGGAAAUGCCUAGGGGUUCUCCCCUAGGUUUGACCUAUCUUCAGAGGAAGUACGGGCUAAGUUCGUGCCAGCAGCCGCCGUAA
rnacentral:rRNA from 1 species